GUGGGGAAUUUUGGACAAUGGGGGGAACCCUGAUCCAGCCAUGCCGCGUGUGUGAAGAAGGCCUUUUGGUUGUAAAGCACUUUAAGCGAGGAGGAGGCUACCGAGAUUAAUACUCUUGGAUAGUGGACGUUACUCGCAGAAUAAGCACCGGCUAACUCUGUGCCAGCAGCCGCGGUAAUACAGAGGGUGCAAGCGUUAAUCGGAUUUACUGGGCGUAAAGCGCGCGUAGGUGGCCAAUUAAGUCAAAUGUGAAAUCCCCGAGCUUAACUUGGGAAUUGCAUUCGAUAAUGGUUGGGUAGAGUAUGGGAGAGGAUGGUAGAAUUCCAGGUGUAGCGGUGAAAUGCGUAGAGAUCUGGAGGAAUACCGAUGGCGAAGGCAGCCAUCUGGCCUAAUACUGACACUGAGGUGCGAAAGCAUGGGGAGCAAACAGGAUUAGAUACCCUAGUAGUCC
rnacentral:rRNA from 1 species